rnacentral:lncRNA from 1 species
UUGGGUAGAAGCGGUGAGAAUUAGAGGAAUCGAGAAUACUAGUGGUAUUAAUUUGCAGAGAUGGAGAUCCUACCUAACGCUACGCCUAUCUGUCAUCUGUCGGCCACUCACAGCGUCACACCACGCACUUAAAUCAAUUAUUUAUAUCCAUAUCUCUCUCUCAUCAAUCCAUCUGCACCACAGGAAAAACAAACCAUGGCCGGCCGCCACCAUAACACCCGCAGAGAAGAAGAACACAAUCCGCCGCCGCCGCAAGUUCAUCACACCGGGCCUGCCCCACCAGUCCCCAAUCCUCAAGUUCAUCACACCUCCCAUACCUCACAUUCUCCCGCCCCACCUCAAGUCCCCAGCCACUCUCCCGCCCCACCGCACGUCCCCAGCCACUCUCCCGCCCCACCUCAAGUCUCCAGCCACUCUCCGGCAGCGGCGGCGCCCCAUCAUGCUCCGGCGGCGUCCACCCACAACGAGCUGGCCAAUAAACCCUCUGUUAGGGUGUAUUGUAAGGCUGAGCCCAAUUUCUCCUUGACAAUUCGUGAUGGCAAAGUUGUUCUGGCGCACUCCAAUUCCGCCG